rnacentral:rRNA from 1 species
UACGGGGGGGAGCAAGCGUUUGUUCGGAUUUACUGGGCGUAAAGGGCGCGUAGGCGGCCACUGCAAGUCGGUUGUGAAAUCUCCGGGCUUAACCCGGAAAGGUCAAUCGAUACUGCAGGGCUAGAGUGCGGAAGGGCAACUGGAAUUCUCGGUGUAGCGGUGAAAUGCGUAGAUAUCGAGAGGAACACCUGCGGCGAAGGCGGGUUGCUGGGCCGACACUGACGCUGACAGCGCGAAAGCUAGGGGAGCGAACGGG